rnacentral:lncRNA from 1 species
UGGACGAAAAUAAUUAAAUUAAGACAAGAACAAAGUAAACAAAUUCUUAGACAAAUUUAAAUGAAUCAAAACAGAUUGUAAAAUGAAUUUGAAUGAAACUUAUGGAUGGAAGGCUAGCUAGGAGGUUCUUCUCCACACAUGUCACACUUGCAUACAAAACGAUUUCCAGUUGCUUUUCGAUAAGCUAUGAAUACUCAACGCCCCAAAUUAACCAUGAAUUGCACUAAUUAACCCUCAGUUUUUCCACAAGUUAUUGGAUUGGAUGAUUGCAUACGACAACCCAAAA